UUGAUGGGACAGAUCUCUCUCUCUCUCUCUCUCUCUCUCUCUCUCUCUCUCUCUGUGUGUGUGUGUGUGUGUGUGUGAGAGAGAGAGAGAGAGAGAGAGAGAGUUGGAUAUGGAUA